CGUCAAAUCAUCAUGCCCCUUAUGUCCUGGGCUACACACGUACUACAAUGGCCGGUACAGACGGAGGCGAAGCUGUGAAGCGGAGCAAAACUGAGAAAGCCGGUCCCAGUUCGGAUUGUAGUCUGCAACUCGACUACAUGAAGUCGGAAUCGCUAGUAAUCGCAGGUCAGCAUACUGCGGUGAAUACGUUCCCGGGCCUU
rnacentral:rRNA from 1 species